rnacentral:rRNA from 1 species
AGCCUGAGAAACGGCUACCACAUCUAAGGAAGGCAGCAGGCGCGCAAAUUACCCAAUCCUAAUACAGGGAGGUAGUGACAAGAAAUAACAAUACAGGACUUUUUGGUUUUGUAAUUGGAAUGAGUUAAGUAUAAACCCCUUUACAAGUAUCAAUUGGAGGGCAAGUCUGGUGCCAGCAGCCGCGGUAAUUCCAGCUCCAAUAGCGUAUAUUAAAGUUGUUGCAGUUAAAAAGCUCGUAGUUGGAUUUCUGUUAAUAAUUUAUAUAAAAUAUUUUGAUGAAUAUUUAUAUAAUAUUAACAUAAUUCAUAUUACUAUAUAUUUUAGUAUAUGAAAUUUUACUUUGAGAAAAUUAGAGUGCUUAAAGCAGGCAUAUGCCUUGAAUACUCCAGCAUGGAAUAAUAUUAAAGAUUUUUAUCUUUCUUAUUGGUUCUAAGAUAAGAAUAAUGAUUAAUAGGGACAGUUGGGGGCAUUUGUAUUUAACAGUCAGA